CCCAAAUAUAAGACUAAACAGAAACUCAAAAAAUCAAUGGCAAAUGAAUUUACUGGCUUCCAAGGAUAAGUAACAGGGGGGAAAUAUAAUAUUUGACUCAAUUGAACUAAUUUUUUAUCUCAAAGUUGGGGUUCAACUGCAUGACUCCUUUGCCUCUCUUCCAACCAGUCUUGAGUCAUAUUCUUAGUAAGAUGUUUACAAAUCAAAACAUUUCUUGCAACUUUCGUGCAGAUCAUUUUCAGCACACAUCCCAGAAUGUGGUCGUUCUUUCUCACAAGUGCAUCAAAGGUUUAUGUUGCAUAAAAGGGGAAAAUUUUGAUAUCAUGAAUUUUAAAAAGAACAUAGGCAAAACUGAAAUUUCAACCAUGGCAUAUCUGUCCAAAGACCAUGUUCAAUUGACACCAAAAUGAUUAUCACUUAUAGAAAUACUUCCGAUGAAAUACAACAUUUACUGAAAUCAUCAAUAUGAUUUGAAAUUUUUCCCCUCAAAAUUACCAAAAUAUGAAAGUUGGUCAAGUUUUGGAGUGUCAGAAGGUUUAAGUUGGAUUUCGGUCUUUCAAAACUAUUGUAACUGAGCAAAAUGGUGUUUAACAGUUAACCCGAACCCAACCCUCAAG
rnacentral:misc_RNA from 1 species